rnacentral:misc_RNA from 1 species
GGAGAGAAAACUUGAGGUCAGAGAAAAGAAUUCAACGAUGCAGAGGUCCGUCUUGUAGCCAUGAGACUCGAUCCCGGCAUAAAUUGUUGACAACACGAGUGGAUGAAAAAAGUGAGGGGCGCCAUUUAGCAGGAUGACGUCUGCGGAACUUUAUGUUCAGGUAAAGUUGACUCUUUGUAACAAUCCCUGGACACAUCAUAUGAUAGGGGCCCCCUUAUACCAUGGUCAGAAAUCGCUGGACUGGCCUCCGAGGGAAGCUUUUUGGUCGUUUUUACGGUAAUUGAUUCUGUGUUGUGUCACCUGUGUCAUGCAUAACACACCUGAGGCAGGUGUUAACGGUUUAACGAGAGGCGGAUCCGGAUUUCUAUGGCAGGCCAGGUGGACUUACGCAGAGUAGUUUAGAAACUCUGGGGCACUCUUUCCAUGUUGUGGCCUGUAUUUGGCCAUAUUUGAUGUUGGUGCAUUCGUGUAUAUACACAUUGUUUGUUUUACUUGUUUGUGGACUUCUGUUGUGAACACUUAGAAGUUUGUGUGUAAGAAUUUUCUGCUACAUGUCUGACUGAGUGUUCUGGGUUCUGUGUUAUAAGUACUGUACCAGUAUAAGAAUCGUACACACUUAAUUUUGGCUCGGUGUGUGCUAGCAUUUCAAUGAGUGAAUUUGAGUCCAAGUGAGCGAGUCCUAAGUGCCCCUCCCCCACCAGGCCCUAUCCCCCAUUACCCUCAAAGCCUCAUACCUCGGGCAAAACUCGAGUAACGAGUUACUUGUCUUUUCUUUAUCAACAUUCUCACAAAGGUUACAAAUUACUGGCAUCAGUAAUUUCAUUUUAUGAAUAAACAAAUGUAACCCCUACCCCCUUUAUGAAGCUUGUCACAAGCAUUGUUGGACAUCGCAAAGUAGACCUGAAGAAAAAUUGACCGCGCUGUCUUUACAAGAAGUAUUACAAUUUUUACACUGAUGUCUCACUUCCUAUACAAUUUCAAUUUCAAUUUCUUUAUUAACCAAUUAAGGGCCCUCAAGGGGCAACAUGAAGACUGUACAUACAACAUCCAAUGUACAUAAAACAUUCAAUAAACAUAUACAAGAGGGAAAGAGCUGGAUGAUUGAACAAAAGUCAUUCAUAUGAUUCUUAGCAAGAUCAGCAAUACCCCCCCCCCCCCCCAUAAAUAAAGGUCACUGGUCCGAUUGGAUCUGAUGAAUUGAUUUGCAUUGAGUGAAGCUUACAGCUUUUACAUGGAGUUCAGUGUUUUUGAUUUUUAAGCAUUAUGAAUUAAACGAUCUGUUAGCUCCAUGAAAUUAAGACUGCUUGUUGUAUGUAUGCGUGUUAUAAUGAUAUGUUAAGGAAGGAAAUUAAUGUCAAUAUGGGAUAAAUUUAUCAUGCAGGGACAAUUUUAGGCAACCAAAAGAUGCGAAAAAAGAAAAAAGAAAUCUCCUCUAAAACAUUUCCUUGUUUUAUGGUAUAAAUAUAUUCAUUGCUUUUUAAUACCUUUUCACAAAAAAACCCUGAAUGAAUCUCAUUUGUGAAACUAGACCUAAAUUACUUAUAAAAGGCAAUAUCAGCAGAGUUAUGCAUCAUUGUCUUAAUUAACAUGUAUCUGGAUAGAUAAGUGGUAUUUAUUUGAAUUAUUUCACUUCCAGAUAAAGCGAACAACAGAAUCUUCUCUACGUUUAUAAAAAACUGUAGAAGGGAGACAAUGAGAUUUUUAUUUCACUUCCCGUAGAUUACAUAUUUGGUAUCACCCAUCAAUUCUGUAAAUUCUUUAAAAUUACUUAAUUCCGCGGUCCCACUGUUUUGUAUCAAAUUGUGAGAAUAUAAUAUUGCGAAGGCAAAACUUUUAUAAUUAUUUCUUAUAGUUCUCAACUCCAAGAAAAAUAACGGCGAGAUUUUUAAAUCCACAAAGGAUGCUUCUCACGAUUUUACAUGGAUAUUAAUUCCCCGUGUUUAAUUAGGAAUCUACAGUAAAUUUAGGAUGGUUGGGGAGGAGAAAGGGGGCGUGUUACUGAAAAUGAAAACAUCAGGAGGAGAGGGGAGGGGGGGGGGUUCGUUGAUGAUUUCUUCUUGUCCUUUUGUCAGAUUAUACUUAAUUUACAUGUCCAGUAGCAAUGGGAGGAGGGGGUGGGUUGGGUGUUGGGUGGUGGGGGUUAAAUAAAGACAAGCCAUAAUAAUAUUCUCCUCCAGUAGGUUGUAUUUCUAUUCAUUUCUAUUCUCUCUUAAAAUAUCUUGGUAUGAACUGUCAGCUGUCAAAGAUUUUUAAAAUACCCCUCCCCCCCCCCC